rnacentral:rRNA from 1 species
UGGGGAAUUUUGGACAAUGGACGCAAGUCUGAUCCAGCCGUGCCGCGUGCGGGAAGAAGGCCUUCGGGUUGUAAACCGCUUUUGUCAGGGAAGAAACGAGUUUCUCUAAUACAGAGACUUAAUGACGGUACCUGAAGAAUAAGCACCGGCUAACUACGUGCCAGCAGCCGCGGUAAUACGUAGGGUGCGAGCGUUAAUCGGAAUUACUGGGCGUAAAGCGUGCGCAGGCGGUUAUGUAAGACAGAUGUGAAAUCCCCGGGCUCAACCUGGGAACUGCGUUUGUGACUGCAUAGCUGGAGUGCGGCAGAGGGGGAUGGAAUUCCGCGUGUAGCAGUGAAAUGCGUAGAGAUGCGGAGGAACACCGAUGGCGAAGGCAAUCCCCUGGGCCUGCACUGACGCUCAAGCACGAAAGCGUGGGGAGCAAACA